rnacentral:rRNA from 1 species
GAAUUCGCCCUUAGAGUUUCAUUCUGGCUCAGGAUGAACGCUGGCGGCGUGCCUAACACAUGCAAGUCGAGCGAUGAAGUUUUCUUCGGGAAACGGAUUAGCGGCGGACGGGUGAGUAACACGUGGGUAACCUGCCUCAUAGAGGGGAAUAGCCUUCCGAAAGGAAGAUUAAUACCGCAUAAUAUUAUCGGGUGGCAUCACUUGAUAAUCAAAGGAGCAAUCCGCUAUGAGAUGGACCCGCGUCGCAUUAGUUAGUUGGUGGGGUAACGGCCUACCAAGACGACGAUGCGUAGCCGACCUGAGAGGGUGAUCGGCCACAUUGGGACUGAGACACGGCCCAGACUCCUACGGGAGGCAGCAGUGGGGAAUAUUGCACAAUGGAGGAAACUCUGAUGCAGCAACGCCGCGUGAGCGAUGAAGGUCUUCGGAUCGUAAAGCUCUGUCUUUAGGGAUGAUAAUGACAGUACCUAAGGAGGAAGCCCACGGCUAACUACGUGCCAGCAGCCGCGGUAAUACGUAGGUGGCGAGCGUUAUCCGGAUUUAUUGGGCGUAAAGGGAGCGUAGGCGGAUACUUAAGUGGGAUGUGAAAUACUUGGGCUCAACCCGAGUACUGCAUUCCAAACUGAGUAUCUAGAGUGCAGGAGAGGAGAGUGGAAUUCCUAGUGUAGCGGUGAAAUGCGUAGAGAUUAGGAAGAACACCAGUGGCGAAGGCGACUCUCUGGACUGUAACUGACGCUGAGGCUCGAAAGCGUGGGGAGCGAACAGGAUUAGAUACCCUGGUAGUCCACGCCGUAAACGAU